rnacentral:rRNA from 1 species
GACGUAGGAGACAAACGUUAUCCGGAGUUACUGGGCGUAAAGGGCGUGUAGGUGGUUUCGUAAGUCUGGCGUGAAAUAUCUCGGCUUAACCGAGGCAGGUCGUCGGAUACUGCGGAACUAGAGGACGGUAGAGGCGUGUGGAAUUCCGGGUGUAGUGGUGAAAUGCGUAGAGAUGUGGAGGAACACCGAUGGCGAAGGCAGCCUCCUGGGCCAACACUGACGCUCAUGCACGAAAGCGUGGGGAGCAAACAGG